GUGGGGAAUAUUGGACAAUGGGCGAAAGCCUGAUCCAGCCAUGCCGCGUGUGUGAAGAAGGUCUUCGGAUUGUAAAGCACUUUAAGUUGGGAGGAAGGGCAGUAAGUUAAUACCUUGCUGUUUUGACGUUACCGACAGAAUAAGCACCGGCUAACUUCGUGCCAGCAGCCGCGGUAAUACGAAGGGUGCAAGCGUUAAUCGGAAUUACUGGGAGUAAAGCGCGCGUAGGGGGUUUUGUAAGUUGGAGGGGAAAUCCCCGGGCUCAACCUGGGAACUGCCUCCAAAACUGCAUGACUAGAGUACGGUAGAGGGUAGUGGAAUUUCCUGUGUAGCGGUGAAAUGCGUAGAUAUAGGAAGGAACACCAGUGGCGAAGGCGACUACCUGGACUGAUACUGACACUGAGGUGCGAAAGCGUGGGGAGCAAACAGGAUUAGAAACCCCGGUAGUCC
rnacentral:rRNA from 1 species